rnacentral:rRNA from 1 species
UACGAAGGGGCUAGCGUUGUUCGGAAUCACUGGGCGUAAAGCGCACGCAGGCGGAUCGUUAAGUCAGGGGUGAAAUGCCGAGGCUCAACCUCGGAACUGCCUUUGAUACUGGCGAUCUUAGAGUCCGGGAGAGGUGAGUGGAACUCCGAGUGUAGAGGUGAAAUUCGUAGAUAUUCGGAAGAACACCAGUGGCGAAGGCGGCUCACUGGCCCGGUACUGACGCUCAGGCACGAAAGCGUGGGGAGCAAACAGG